AGCAGCCGCGGUAAUUCCAGCUCCAAUAGCGUAUAUUAAAGUUGCUGCAGUUAAAAAGCUCGUAGUUGAAUUUCGGGACCAUCAUGUCGGUCGUGCCUCGGUACGUACUGGCAUUGUUGGUUUCUACCUUCUGACGAACCAUGAUGUCAUUUAUUUGGUGUCGUGGGAAAUCAGGACUGUUACUUUGAAAAAAUUAGAGUGUUUAAAGCAGGCUCACGCUUGAAUACAUUAGCAUGGAAUAAUGAAAUAGGACGUUUGAUUCUAUUUUGUUGGUUUCUAGGAUCGACGUAAUGAUUAAUAGGGAUAGUUGGGGGCAUUAGUAUUCAAUUGUCAGAGGUGAAAUUCUUGGAUUUAUUGAAGACUAACUACUGCGAAAGCAUUUGCCAAGGAUGUUUUCAUUAAUCAAGAACGAAAGUUAGGGGAUCGAAGACGAUCAGAUACCGUCGUAGUCUUAACCAUAAACUAUGCCGACUAGGGAUCGGAUGAUG
rnacentral:rRNA from 1 species